UUGCAAAUGAGUAAUUUAUUUUCCACCCUCUGUACAGGUCAAUAAAGAAGAAGGUGAAAUACUCCCUGAAGACUUGUCUGUGGAGCCUGGGAGAGGUUACAACACACGUGAUACCUCUAUACCUGUGUCAUGAGCAGAUGUCUUCCUAGCCUUCUUGCCAUCUUGCUUUUCAAGCUCAAUUGAUAGGUGUUACUGCCAAGAUGCUUGAUUCAGCCACAGUGA
rnacentral:lncRNA from 1 species